CCUACGGGAGGCAGCAGUGGGGAAUAUUGCACAAUGGGGGAAACCCUGAUGCAGCGACGCCGCGUGAAGGAAGAAGGCUUUCGGGUUGUAAACUUCUUUUAAGGGGGAAGAGCAGAAGACGGUACCCCUUGAAUAAGCCACGGCUAACUACGUGCCAGCAGCCGCGGUAAUACGUCGGUGGCAAGCGUUGUCCGGAUUUACUGGGUGGAAAGGGCGUGCAGCCGGAGAGACAAGUCAGAUGUGAAAUCCACGGGCUGAACCCGUGAACUGCAUGUGAAACUGUUUCCCUUGAGUGUAGGAGAGGUAAUCGGAAUUCAAGGUGUAGCGGUGAAAUGCGUAGAUAUAAGGAAGAACACCAGUGGCGAAGGCGGAUUACUGGACGAUAACUGACGGUGAGGCGCGAAAGCGUGGGGAGCAAACAGGAUUAGAUACCCCUGUAGUC
rnacentral:rRNA from 1 species